UGAACGCUAGCGGCAGGCCUAAUACAUGCAUUUCGGACGGUAAGCGGCCCUUCGGGGCCGCGAGAGUGGCGGACGGGUGCGUAACGCGUAUGCAACCAACCCCUGUCGGCCGGAUAGCCGGUGGAAACGCCGGAUAAUACGGCAUGAACCCUAGUUGGGGCAUCCCAAGUAGGGCAAAGCGGCGACGCGGACGGGGACGGGCAUGCGUGCCAUUAGCUGGUUGGCGGGGCGACGGCCCACCAAGGCUACGAUGGCUAGGGGAUCUGAGAGGACGGUCCCCCACACUGGUACUGAGACACGGACCAGACUCCUGCGGGAGGCAGCAGUAAGGAAUAUUGGUCAAUGGGCGAGAGCCUGAACCAGCCAAGUAGCGUGCAGGAAGACGGCCCUAUGGGUUGUAAACUGCUUUUAUAAGGGAAUAAAGUGAGCCUCGUGAGGCUUUUUGCAUGUACCUUAUGAAUAAGGACCGGCUAAUUCCGUGCCAGCAGCCGCGGUAAUACGGAAGGUCCGGGCGUUAUCCGGAUUUAUUGGGUUUAAAGGGAGCGUAGGCCGGAGAUUAAGCGUGUUGUGAAAUGUAGACGCUCAACGUCUGCACUGCAGCGCGAACUGGUUUCCUUGAGUACGCACAAAGUGGGCGGAAUUCGUGGUGUAGCGGUGAAAUGCUUAGAUAUCACGAAGAACUCCGAUUGCGAAGGCAGCUCACUGGAGCGCAACUGACGCUGAAGCUCGAAAGUGCGGGUAUCGAACAGGAUUAGAUACCCUGGUAGUCCGCACGGUAAACGAUGGAUGCCCGCUGUUGGUCUGAAUAGGUCAGCGGCCGAGCGAAAGCAUUAAGCAUCCCACCUGGGGAGUACGCCGGCAACGGUGAAACUCAAAGGAAUUGACGGGGGCCCGCACAAGCGGAGGAACAUGUGGUUUAAUUCGAUGAUACGCGAGGAACCUUACCCGGGCUCGAACGGCACCUGGAUCACCCAGAGACGGGUGAGUCUUCGGACAGGUGUCGAGGUGCUGCAUGGUUGUCGUCAGCUCGUGCCGUGAGGUGUCGGCUCAAGUGCCAUAACGAGCGCAACCCUUGCCGCCAGUUGCCAUCAGGUGAUGCUGGGCACUCUGGCGGGACUGCCACCGCAAGGUGUGAGGAGGGGGGGGAUGACGUCAAAUCAGCACGGCCCUUACGUCCGGGGCGACACACGUGUUACAAUGGCGGCCACAGAGGGAUGCUACCCCGCGAGGGGAUGCGGAUCUCGAAAAGCUGUCCCAGUUCGGACUGGAGUCUGCAACCCGACUCCACGAAGUUGGAUUCGCUAGUAAUCGCGCAUCAGCCAUGGCGCGGUGAAUA
rnacentral:rRNA from 1 species